CUCCUGUGCAGUCAAAUCAGUCCCUGUCUUCAUCCUUUGACUCCAGUGACUAGUGACAGGAUACACUCAUUAUUGAAGAAAGGUCCUCCAGUAAACGAAUGAGACCAGAUGAUGGAGCUAAAAGUACAUCACCACCAAGGAAGGUGAACGAAAACUAUGCCAGAUGAAUUGUGCCUUUGUUCCUGUACCUCUGUGUCCCCUUCUUCAAAAAUGGCUAAGAGCAUUACUAUGAUGUUGGUAAGAGUGCCACCGGAUACUUGCUAUGGAGAAUCAAAACUAUACAGAGAGGCAUUUCUAACGAGGAAUAUCAUUUGAAGGCCAGAAGAGACCAGGAAAGGUGUCUACGUCUCAAGUAGAGAUAUCUUCUAGAAGAGUGGAACAAGCAUUGAGGAGCAUCUUCAAGGCAUUGCUGGAAGUGCUCAGCCCUGUCACCUGGCUCUUGGAAGAAUUAUUCAGUUCAGCAGUACUUAAAUUUUGAUCAGCAUGCCAUUCCAUGCAAGUCAGUCUCUUCUCUUGAUGCUGUUGACAAACUGUUUAAUGGGGUUCAUUUACCCAAAUUCUGUCGACAUUUACUCACCCUCAUGUCGUUCCAAACCUGUAAGACUUUCGUUCAUCUUCAAAACACCAAUGAAGAUAUUUUAAUGAAAUCUGAGAGAUUUCUGUCCCUACAUUGACAGUCCACGCAACUAGCACAUUCAAGGCACAGAAUGGUAGUAAUGACAUUCAUUAAAGUAAUCCAUGUGACUCCAACUGGUUUAACCUCAAUUUUAUGCAUGCAUUCACACAAAGUCUGCUUUCAUUUCAACAAAACAUUCAUCUGUCGUCGUGCUCUCGUGUAUGCUUGUCAGAGAUGAAUAUUUUCAUAAAGUGGUAAAUUAUAAUUUUUUUCUUUGUGCAAACAAAGCACUCGUGUUGCUUAAUAAAACUGAAG